GCCACAUGGUAGGAGAGCGUUCCGUAGGCCGGUGAAGGUGGCUUGUAAAGGCUGCUGGAGGUAUCGGAAGUGCGAAUGCUGACAUGAGUAGCGAUAAAGCGAGUGAAAGGCUCGCUCGCCGAAAGCCCAAGGUUUCCUCCGCCACGUUCAUCGGCGGAGGGUGAGUCGGCCCCUAAGGUGAGGGCGAAAGCCGUAGCUGAUGGGAAGCGGGUUAAUAUUCCCGCACCGGUCAUGGAUGCGAUGGGGGGACGGAGAAAGUUAGGUGGGCCGGGUGUUGGAUGUCCCGGUGAAAGCGUGUAGGCAUGGGUUCCAGGCAAAUCCGGAGCUCUAAGCCGAGGCGUGAUGACGGAAGGCUCUUCGGAGUCCCAAGCCACUGAUACUCUGCUUCCAGGAAAAGCCUCUAAGCUUCAGUCCAUGAGCGACCGUACCGCAAACCGACACAGGUGGGCAGGAUGAGAAUUCUAAGGCGCUUGAGAGAACUCGGGUGAAGGAACUCGGCAAAUUAGCACCGUAACUUCGGUAAAAGGUGCGCCCCUGUUAGGUGAAGGCGUACAGCCGGAGCCGAGAGGGGUCGCAGUGAAAAGGUGGCUGCGACUGUUUAACAAAAACACAGCACUCUGCUAACACGAAAGUGGACGUAUAGGGUGUGACGCCUGCCCGGUGCCGGAAGGUUAAAUGAUGGGGUGCAAGCUCUUGAUUGAAGCCCCGGUAACGGCGGCCGUAACUAUAACGGUCCUAAGGUAGCGAAAUUCCUUGUCGGGUAAGUUCCGACCCGCACGAAUGGCGUAACGAUGGCCACACUGUCUCCACCCGAGACUCAGCGAAGUUGAAAUGUUUGUGAAGAUGCAAUCUCCCCGCGGCAAGACGGAAAGACCCCGUGCACCUUUACUGUAGCUUUACAUUGGAUUGUGACAAGACUUGUGUAGGAUAGCUGGGAGGCGAUGAAGCGAGGGCGCUAGCUUUCGUGGAGCCAACGUUGAAAUACCAGCCUGGUGUUGUUGCGGUUCUAACCUGGACCCCUGAUCGGGGUUGGGGACCGUGUAUGGUAGGCAGUUUGACUGGGGCGGUCUCCUCCCAAAGAGUAACGGAGGAGCUCGAAGGUCCGCUAGGUACGGUCGGACAUCGUACUGAUAGUGCAAUGGCAUAAGCGGGCUUAACUGCGAGCCUGACAAGGCGAGCAGGUGCGAAAGCAGGACAUAGUGAUCCGGUGGUUCUGUAUGGAAGGGCCAUCGCUCAACGGAUAAAAGGUACGCCGGGGAUAACAGGCUGAUACCGCCCAAGAGUUCAUAUCGACGGCGGUGUUUGGCACCUCGAUGUCGGCUCAUCACAUCCUGGGGCUGUAGCCGGUCCCAAGGGUAUGGCUGU
rnacentral:rRNA from 1 species